GCUCGCUUAACUCAGUUGGUUAGAGUGCCGUACUAAUAAUCCAAUGGUUAAGUACAUGCGGACGUCAGAGGUUCGAGCCCUCUAGUGAGCA
rfam:Talaromyces islandicus isolate WF-38-12 genome assembly, contig: WF-38-12_scaffold00010